GAUGAAUGCUGGCGGCGUGCCUAAUACAUGCAAGUCGUGCGGUAAGGCUCUUCGGAGUACACGAGCGGCGGACGGCUGAGUAACGCGUGGGAACGUGCCCCAAAGUGAGGGAUAACGCACCGAAAGGUGUGCUAAUACCGCAUAUGGUCUUCGGAUUAAAGCUUCGGCGCUUUGGGAGCGGCCCGCGUACGAUUAGAUAGUUGGUAGGGUAAUGGCCUACCAAGUCGACGAUCGUUAACUGGUCUGAGAGGAUGAUCAGUCAGACUGGAACUGAGACACGGUCCAGACUCCUACGGGAGGCGGCAGUAAGGAAUCUUCCACAAUGGGGGCAACCCUGAUGGAGCAACGCCGCGUGCAGGAUGAAGGCCCUCGGGUCGUAAACUGCUUUUAUGAGUGAAGAAUAUGACGGUAACUCAUGAAUAAGCACCGGCUAACUACGUGCCAGCAGCCGCCGUAA
rnacentral:rRNA from 1 species